GAUGAACGCUGGCGGCGUGCCUAAUACAUGCAAGUCGAGCGAACAGAUGAGGAUCUUGCUCCUCUGACGUUAGCGGCGGACGGGUGAGUAACACGUGGAUAACCUACCUAUAAGACUGGUAUAACUUCGGGAAACCGGAGCUAAUACCGGAUAAUAUAUUGAACCGCAUGGUGCAAUAGUGAAAGACGGUUUUGCUGUCACUUAUAGAUGGAUCCGCGCCGCAUUAGCUAGUUGGUAAGGUAACGGGUUACCAAGGCAACGAGGCGUAGCCGACCUGAGAGGGUGAUCGCCCACACUGGAACUGGACCACGGUCAAGAGUCCUACGGGAGGCAGCAGUAGGGAAUCUUACGCAAUGGGCGAAAGCCUGACGGAGCAACGCCGCGUGAGUGAUGAAGGUCUUCGGAUCGUAAAACUCUGUUAUGAGGGAAGAACAAAUGUGUAAGUAAAUAUGCACGUAUUGACGGUACCUAAUCAGAAAGCCACGGCUAACUACGUG
rnacentral:rRNA from 1 species